rnacentral:tRNA from 1 species
UCCCUGUUCGUAUAGUGGUUAGUAUCUCCGCCUGUCACGCGGAAGACCGGGGUUCAAUUCCCCGACAGGGAG